UACGGAGGGGGCUAGCGUUGUUCGGAAUUACUGGGCGUAAAGCGCGCGUAGGCGGACCUGCAAGUCGGGGGUGAAAGCCCGAGGCUCAACCUCGGAACUGCCUUCGAUACUGCGGGUCUCGAGUCCGGGAGAGGUGAGUGGAAUUCCUAGUGUAGAGGUGAAAUUCGUAGAUAUUAGGAAGAACACCAGUGGCGAAGGCGGCUCACUGGCCCGGUACUGACGCUGAGGCGCGAAAGCGUGGGGAGCGAACGAGG
rnacentral:rRNA from 1 species